CCUACGGUGCGCAGCAGUGGGGAAUAUUGGACAAUGGGCGAAAGCCUGAUCCAGCCAUGCCGCGUGUGUGAUGAAGGCCUUCGGGUUGUAAAGCACUUUCAGUGGGGAAGAAAGCCUUGGGGCUAAUACCCUCGAGGAAGGACAUCACCCACAGAAGAAGCACCGGCUAACUCCGUGCCAGCAGCCGCGGUAAUACGGAGGGUGCGAGCGUUAAUCGGAAUUACUGGGCGUAAAGCGCGCGUAGGCGGUCUGAUAAGCCGGUUGUGAAAGCCCCGGGCUCAACCUGGGAACGGCAUCCGGAACUGUCAGGCUAGAGUGCAGGAGAGGAAGGUAGAAUUCCCGGUGUAGCGGUGAAAUGCGUAGAGAUCGGGAGGAAUACCAGUGGCGAAGGCGGCCUUCUGGACUGACACUGACGCUGAGGUGCGAAAGCGUGGGUAGCAAACAGGAUUAGAUACCCUUGUAGUC
rnacentral:rRNA from 1 species